GCGUGUGCCCCGUCGCCCAGGAGGGCCACGCUGGACCCGUGGAGAGAGUGGCUGCAGUGAGGUUUUGGGAAGCAGGGCCUGGAGUUGGCCUGGGAAGGCCUCCUCCAGCGCCCCGGCCCCGCCGUAAGGUCUUCGUUCACCGGUCCUGGGACCAGUACUUGGAGUCCCCGGAGUCAGAGCCCGAGGAGUCCGGUGCAGGAGCAGAAGCCGGGUCGGCUCCAGAGCCCGGCCCAAAGGCAUCGGGGGCCUCGGCGUCUCUGCAGGCAGGCGUGGUAUCUGGAGCGACUCCUGCAGGGGCCGGAGAGCCAGCAGGUGACCUGGGACCUGUGCGGGGACAGCGGGCACCUGAGCAGAGUCAGCUGGGUCCUGCUUCUGCUGGUUCCACUGUUCCCGCUUUUGCUCCCAACACUGCUCCUGCCAUCGCCCUUCUCCCCGCCCCUGCCGCUGCCCUUGAUCCCACAUGGAUGUCGGCCAAAAAUCAAGGGGUUGAAGACCUAUACAGGGUGCUUUUUUUAUCUUAUUUUACUUUUUGUUUAUUAUAUUUUAUUUCAAAUUUAUUCUCCAAUCCCUGACCCCGACCCCCCACCAAAAUGUCUCUUCCUCUUCUCCCUUAUCCUUUUUCUCUUCUAUUUUUUAGCUGUUAUGUUAUUUGUUCAUUAGUUAUAAUCUAUAUUAAUCUUCAAUAAAAUGUUUUAUUUA